GAUGAACGCUGGCGGCGUGCCUAAUACAUGCAAGUCGAGCGAAUGGAUUAAGAGCUUGCUCUUAUGAAGUUAGCGGCGGACGGGUGAGUAACACGUGGGUAACCUGCCCAUAAGACUGGGAUAACUCCGGGAAACCGGGGCUAAUACCGGAUAACAUUUUGAACCGCAUGGUUCGAAAUUGAAAGGCGGCUUCGGCUGGCACUUAUGGAUGGGCCCGCGUCGCAUUAGCUAGUGGGUGAGGUAACGGCUGACCAAGGCAACGAUGCGUAGCAGACCUGAGAGGGUGAUCGGCCACACUGGGACUGAGACACGGCCCAGACUCCUACGGGAGGCAGCAGUAGGGAAUCUUCCGCAAUGGACGAAAGUCUGACGGAGCAACGCCGCGUGGGUGAUGAAGGCUUUCGGGUCGUAAAACUCUGUUGUUAGGGAAGAACAAGUGCUAGUUGUAUAAGCUGGCACCUUGACGGUACCUAACCAGAAAGCCACGGCUAACUACGUGCCAGCCGCCGCAGUAA
rnacentral:rRNA from 1 species